GACCGCGUAGCUCAGUUGGCAGAGCAUUGGGCUAGUAUUCCGAAAGUUGUAGGUUCGAUUCCUGCCGUGGCCA